GGACACUCUACAUCACUUUCAUCACUAUCAUCCUUCUCUACGGAGUUGCGAGCCACAUUACCCCCCGCCUCACUUUAUGAAGAAUCUUUAUCCUUCAAACACUAAUUAAAUGGAGGCACAAAAACUGAUUAACUGAGAUAGCAAAAGUUGUCUUAGACAGAACAGAUAACAGUGAAGAACAGGUUCACAACACUAUCCAAGAAAAGACUUAAGUAUGAAGCUAUGGCUAAGGAGAUGGGAUUACUUCUGUGUAAACUCAAACAACAAAAUAAUUGUUUUCCCAUAUGGUAUUCGUACACCAAGAAAAUCUGAGAGUGAAUCCCCUCUUGCUAUGAAAACGAGGUGAGAAACCUGUUUUGUUUUCUCUUUAACGUGAAUUGACAUGCUUUGGUCAUGCUCUUUAUUUGAGGAGAAGUCACAUUCCAGAUUAUAAAGAGAUCAGUAGCUAUGGGUAUAGCUUACAUCUAAAGAUAGGUGUCAAACAGCAGGCAUGACCUCCACUUUCAGUACUUUCUCACAAUGCCACAAGUAUUGAUAGCACGAAGGAGCAUAAUCAAACAGACAGUACAAAAGAAAAUGAUUGUAAACAACUAUGGUAAAAACUUUUGUUUUUGUUGCUUAUCCCUUAA